rnacentral:lncRNA from 9 species
CUUCUGGAGGAAUUUUCCAGAGCAUUAAGCAGUAAGUACUAACUCUCAGAAUGAUGUGAGUCUCCAGUCCAAUGAUGCCAGCUUUCCAUCUUGGUAAAGUGGAAGAAGUUUGGGUGGGUUGAAUGGGUACCAUCUUUGAUCUUAGAGGUACUAGGUAGGGCCCUCGUUUAUUGCUAUAUGAUAUUUUAGUGUAGCAGUUUUAGUGUUAACUUGAAUAUGUCAGAAGAAUUGAAGUUGGAAUUUCAAAAAAAAUGCAUGAAUCAUUGUUACUUUCAAAUUCCAGUUCUCCUCCGUGGUAUAAAAUAUCACAUUUCUUUUAAUAGAUCAUAAAAUUAUUCCAAAUUGCCAGAUCCAAAUGCCAAACAACAAACAUCAUCUUUAGGAGUAGGGUUAAAUUUUACUCUCCAAUGAAAAAUUCCCAACCCAGAACAGAUUUUAGCCAGGCAGUGAGCACAGCUCGCUGGGUGAACCACACAGGCCAUGGUGGGUGCAGCGUUCAGAGCCGGAAAGCAAACAGCUGCUGUAGCCUGAUUUGAGUUAAAAUAGUGUGAGUGUUUAGUCUGGCGCACGGCUUCAGGGGAGAUUGGCAGCUGGGUCAAACAAAGUCCUUCCAUUGGCUCUCUUCCCAGGCAGCUUCUGCUAGUAUUUAGGUACUAGUGCAGUGUAGGGCCUUUCUCAGGCAAAACCUAACAUCUGACCGCACCCUCUUCGCUUUUUCCAGAAAAAAAAAAAAAAAAAAAAAGAAGAAGAAAGAAAGAAAGAAAAAAAGCUGCUUUUUCCUCUUUUUCCUUCUUUCGUUAAGAUAAAUUCUCCAGCAGGCAACUUCUCCCACUAAUUGUGUAUUAGCCAUGUAUUUUAUCUUGAGAACUGACGCACUGGGCUCUCAACAUGGUGUGGAAGGCAGCCUGUUACAGUGCUGGAUUCAUAAAAGGGCCUUUAUGGUUUGUGAAAGAAUAUCUGUGUGCUUAGGCAGGAAACUUUUUGAUCUGCAGAAAAGCCAGAAGACAUCUAGGAUAUCCUUGAAGAUUAACCAGAGAACUUUUCAUAUACUUCUAAAGGUAGGAAAUAGAAGCCCCCUUUUUUUGGUUAUAAAAUAUGUUGUAUUUGUUUUAGCUAUGUUUGAAUAAUUUACUUCCCUUGUAGAUAUAGAUAGAAUUGAUGCUGCUUAUUCUGAAAAACUGAAAAAUGCAUUAUGUCUGCCUACUUGCUAGACUCGAAUCAUCCAACACAUAGUGUUUAAUCGUCAGUUUGAUUUUUCUUCCAUACUACUACUACUAUAGUUUCUUGUGUCUUUUACAGUUUAUGUUUUACUGUGGACAGAAUUCAUUCAUUAUUUUACAUUUUUGUAUUAUCGUCUUCAUAAUUCUAGGGUAGUUUGACGUGACUCUUGCAGGAAGGAGACCCCUUCCAGGGCCCAAGAAUGGGCUCUUGUCCAACACUGGAAAUGAACUGUGAGAGGAGACACACAUGCUGACAAAGCAAAAGACUUUAUCGAGUAGGGGUACCAGGGCGGAGAGCAGCCAGGUAAGGGAAUCAGGAGAACUGCUCUGCCAGGUGGCUCACAGUCUCAGGCUUUAUGGGAAUGGAGUUAGUUUCUGAGUUGUCUCUGGCCAGUCAUCUUGACCAGCCCAUGCUUGGUGUGUGGCUCAGGGCCCCUCUUGGGGGCGUAUGCACCUCUCAGCCAAGAUGGAUUCCAGAACCAAGGAUCCUGGGAGGUUGGCUGUCUUGUCUCUCCUAUUGGACUUCCCAUGUUCUCCUGGUUGUCUUCAGGGCAGCACAGUAUUCCUUAUCAGGGAUUCCUGUUAUGAGACAACUCAGUGGAGGGGCUAUUAUUGUGCCUGGCCAAGGUGGACAGUUUCAGUCAGUAGUUCCCCAACAUUAGCAUAUAUACUUUCUAUACAUCAAGUAGACAAUUUCACAGUAUAUACAUAUAUUGAAUAUUCAUAUAUUCAAAUAUUGUUAGAAACUGAGAUUUUCUGAUACACUAUAAUUUCAUAUUUUUCUUGCUGUUUUAAAACUGUAAUUUCUAAAGAAACAACCCAAGUAAUAAUAAGUAUAAUUAGCUAUCAGCGAUUUAGUAAAUAAGUGUUAAUUUGGAAAAAUUUACUUCAGUAUUAGCUUUACUUAAUAAGAGUGCUAGAAAAUGUGGCCCUUUUCUUGGCUAGGAUGUAUGUGAGGAUAAAUUUAGAAUUUCUAGUCUAGUAAAUACUUCUCUGAUAAUAGCUUAAUUGUAGCUAUUUCAAACCAAAUUGUUUAAUUGUAGUGAAUCAUAUGCAAAUUGUUCAGAUGUAGGUCAACCUCCCACUCCCACAUUCUAGCACUUCUUUUCUGAUUCAAGACAAACUACUCAGUGCCUAACAGAAGGAGAAUGGUGCAGAUUAGAGACAUUAGAUAAAAACAGAACAACAAUAACGCAAAAACCAACAGUGGGCUAGGAGUCACAAAAAAGGCAAGGCAAGUUGCAUUUAUCUUAACCUUAGCUGAGGACCUCUUAUGCUGGUUGUGUGUUUGUACACAAUGAUCUGCUCACUGCUCAUGAGAUUUGUGGUUGGCCAAUUAUGGUGCUUCUAGGAUGCUAGGUUUCCUCAUCUGUAUUCAUUUUUGAUGAGCUGGUUGAGUGAGGAGUGGCCCUCACAGAUAGCAAAGAAUAUCUUGUGUAUAUGGGGAAGUGAUGGGGGUGGGGCCAAUUGAAAUAUACCUCCGUUGUACAAAGUCUGGAAAUCCUUUCUUUUUCUAGCUGCUACAUUCUGCUUCUAAUUUAUAGUUGCCUUUGUGAUGGGCUAUUGUAUCACUUUCUGAUGAACAACUGAGAUUUUAUGAUUCUAUUUAAUCUUUAUAUGUUGUCUACUAUACUUUAAUUUGCAGUUUGUAAAGCAUCAAAAACAUGAUAAUAACAGAUUUGUGAGUUUGUUAUAUUUGUUGUCCUUUAUCUUUGGUGAUUAUCACUGAUGUUUUUAGUAUAUUGACAGAAAAUAGUGUAUUGACAGAAAAUAAUUGCUUAUUAUUGAUGAAAAAUUAUUUUGGCUAUAAUCCUAAUAAAAUUAGAAUUCUGCCUUACUAGAAACAUGAUUUCUAAAAUUAUCAUUCCUCACUGGAAUUUAAGAAUUUGAAUUUAUAUUUUAAUAUAAUUUAUAAUAUUAAAAUUUUCUAAAAUUUGAGUUAAACUUUUCAUUCUUAAAAAGUUAUUAGUUCUCAGCAUGGUUAGUGGAAACGAAUCCAACUAGGAACCAUGAGGUUGUGGGUUUGAUCCCUGGCCUUGCUCAGUGGGUUAAGGAUCUAGUGUUGCCUGAGCUGUGGUGUAGGUCAGACGUGGCUCGGAUCGCCGUUGCUGUGGCUGGCAUAGGCCGGCAGCUAUAGCUCCAAUUCGACCCCUAGCCUGGGAACCUCCAUAUUCUGUGGGUACAGCCCUCAAAAAGACAAACAAAACCAGAAAAAAAAAAUUACUGACUUAAAAAGUGUCAGUAAUUUUUCUAGUUCUUAGAGUGGGGAAAUAGAUGAUGUUUACUUUGUAUUUCUUUCAAUAUAAAUACUUUUGCUGUUUAAAUUAUUUAAAAUUUUUUAAAUAAAAAAUAAUACUAAAUAAAAGUGAUAUUUUCCUUAAGUUAACUACCUCUAAAAUUUUGGUGUUUAUUCUUCCUAAUUCCUUUUUUAUAUGCAUAAAUAUCAAUAUCAAUCUGUGCACAUAAUGCUUUUAUGUCAUAUCCAUGAUUCUGUUUUUUAAAAUUGUAAUUAUGAACAUUUUUCUAAGGCAAUAUGUUAUCUAUUUAAUUUUGCAUAUUAGACAACUUUUUUGAUGGACCAUGAUUUAUUUAUUAAUCCCUCUAAACUUUUUUAAAAAUAGAACUUUAAAAUAGAAUGAAAGCAGGCCUUUCUUAAUUACAUUUUUGGCAGGGAUACAAAAGAAUAAUUCUCAUUUGUACAUUGAAUUAGGAAAUUAAGGAGUAAAGAAAGUGUUACAGUAAAGAGGCCUAAAACAUAUUAGGUGGGUGCAUAUUAAUGGUUGGGGAAAGAAAAGCUAAUAAUACAGAUGUUCAUGAAACUGUUUUACGUAUAUAAAACUGGAACUCUGAUUUUUUCCCAAGGGUCACAGCAAAUGACACCCCUCCCGUUAGCUUUCAAAGAGAUAUUUCCUUCAUCUUCAUUCUCAUCAGUUGUCUUAUAUCUUCAUACCACUUUGGAGAAAAAUAUAUCUCUUUACAUUAUGUCACAUAUAAAAAUUCAUCUUGCGUUUAUCUUUUUUCCCCUGUGAGGCUGUUGACCCUCAGAGGGUGUUACUGUGUGUUACUCCUCCUCGAACCUAGUAGGUGCUGAAAAAAUGGUCAUUCAGUUAACUUGGAUUGAAGUGUGAAAAGGGGGAGAAUCAGGUGGAAAUAUUUAAUCUUACCAAAAUUUCAUCAAGUACCUCUAUCUCCCUAUUAUCUCUGGAGUAAAGUAGUAAUUAAUUCUUUUGAUGAAUGGGAUACAAAGGAUAUAAACACGUGAUUUUUUAUUACAAUGAAAGUAAUCUAAAUUGAAUUUUAAUGAUUCUUAUUGGUAUUCAAACUUAAAAUCAUACCUAUAGGUUAAUUAUUUCAGAAAAAUACUUAUAAUUUAUGAAUAUAUAUAUAUAUAUAAAUAUGGUACUGAACUUAUACAUUACCUGAUAUGGAUAUAAAAACACUUUGUCAGCCUUAUUCCAUUGUACACUUGUAAGACAUUAUUAUUUUUGGUAAGACACUAACAAAAUUGGCUCUGUAGAUAAAAUAUGGAUGAUUAUUUACAAAUAGAAGUAAUAUAUAAAAAAGAAGCAGUUCUUUGUAUGAAUUCUGUUAGAAGAAAGGGAGUAUUGUUUUUAGUACUUUUAUAUAAUGCAAGUUGCCACUUAAAUAAAUCUUUGACAUUAUCUCAAUCAGCACAAGUAGAGUUAUUAAUAGUUUGAAUUAUGCCUGAAAGGAUCUCUAAUUUCAUAUUAGUAUGAAUUCAAUGGCAGUAUAAAUUUGAAAUCUCUGAGCAGAUGUACCAAUUUAUUUUUUUUAACAGAAAGAUGAAGAAUUUGUGGGUGUAAAAGUCUCUUAUGAAACUGAAUGUAGUGCCUAGUGCAUAAUAGUUUUUCUCUCUUCUGGCUUGCAGAAGUCACUAUCCCCAAACUCUAAUUUCACAUACAUUGUUCUGGGAAAUCAGGAAGGAGAAAGGAUCUUAGUCAGUCUUCUAAAUAAAUUUUUCAGCUUGUUGCAGACCUUUGCUUGACCAGAGCUUGAACCUUGGUAUUUCAAAGGCAUACUAUUGUGCUGUCUUUGUUCUCAAAGCUUUCCCCAUCACUGUUAUCUAUUCAGCCAGAGUUGCAAAUGCAAGUAUUUUCAAGGCCCAUGAAUAUAACAGAACUGGGUGUAACAUACAGUAGAGAGUGGUGUGGACUGAGAAAGAGAUGAUCACAAGCUCAACUCACAGGCCUGCUUCUACUCUUUCUUGUCAAAUUUUCUGCCCAACAGGAUAUUCCAGUAGCCAUAAAUACUAAAGGUAAGGAGAACUGAAUACUGAAAUCUUUAUGUGAAAUCUCACGGUUUUUUAAUGUGGGCUCAAAUUUUAAUU